GCAAAUUUACACCGUAACUUCGGGAGAAGGUGUGCCGCUGGCGGUUAGUGACUUCGCGUCACGAAGCUGUCGGUGGUCGCAGUGAAAUGGCGGUUGUGACUGUUUACUAAAAACACAGGACUCUGCGAAGUCGUAAGACGACGUAUAGGGUCUGAUGCCUGCCCGGUGCUGGAAGGUUAAGGGGAUAUGUCAGCGCAAGCGAAGCAUUGAACCGAAGCCCCAGUAAACGGCGGCCGUAACAAUAACGGUCCUAAGGUAGCGAAAUUCCUUGUCGGGUAAGUUCCGACCUGCACGAGGGCAUAACAACAUCCGCACUGUCUCGACCAGGGACUCAGCGAAAUUACAUUGGGGGUGAAGAUGCCCUCUACCCGCGGAAAGACGGAAAGACCCCAUGAACCUUUACUGCAACUUGGCAGUGAUUUUCGGGUUGUUCUGCGUAGGAUAGGUGGGAGGCUUUGAAGUCGGGCUUCCGGGUUCGACUGAGCCAACGUUGAAAUACCACCCUGAAUAAUCUGGAAAUCUAACCUGCGCCCCAUCUGGGCGAGGGACACUGCCUGGUGGGCAGUUUGACUGGGGCGGUCGCCUCCUAAAUUGUAACGGAGGCGUGCGACGGUUCCCUCAGGCUGAUUGGAAACCAGCCGUAGAGUGCAAACGCAUAAGGGAGCUUUACUGCGAGACUGACAAGUCGAACAGUUGCGAAAGCAGGUGUUAGUGAUCCGGUGGUACCACAUGGAAGGGCCAUCGCUCAUCGGAUAAAAGGUACUCUGGGGAUAACAGGCUGAUCGCGCCUGAGAGUUCACAUCGGCGGCGCGGUUUGGCACCUCGGUGUCGGCUCAUCGCAUCCUGGGGCUGGAGCAGGUCCCAAGGGUUUGGCUGUUCGCCAAUUAAAGCGGUACGCGAGCUGGGUUUAAAACGUCGUGAGACAGUUUGGUCCCUAUCUUCCGUGGGCGCAGGACACUUGAGAGGAGCUAUCCAUAGUACGAGAGGACCUGGAUGGACGAACCUCUGGUGCUCCGGUUGUCACGCCAGUGGCAUAGCCGGGUAGCCAUGUUCGGAACAGAUAACCGCUGAAGGCAUAUAAGCGGGAAGCUGGCCUCAAGACUAGGUGUCCCUGACGCAAGUCACUAAAGGCCCCUCGAAGACUACGAGGUUGAUAGGCUCGGUGUGGAAGCGCUGCAAGGCGCGGAGCUAACGAGUACUAAUAGGCCGUGCGACUUGACCUG
rnacentral:rRNA from 1 species